GUUAUUGUAGCUUAAUACUUAAAGCAUGGCACUGAAAAUGCCAAAAUGGAACUUAACCCAAUCAACA
rnacentral:tRNA from 1 species